UACGGGGGGGGCAAGCGUUGUUCGGAAUUACUGGGCGUAAAGGGCUCGUAGGUGGCCAACUAAGUCAACCGUGAAAUCCCUCGGCUUAACCGGGGAACUGCGUUUGAUACUGGAUGGCUUGAGUUUGGGAGAGGGAUGCGGAAUUCCAGGUGUAGCGGUGAAAUGCGUAGAUAUUGGGAAGAACACCGGUGGCGAAGGCGGCCAUCUGGACCGGCACUGACGCUGAGGCGCGAAAGCGUGGGGAGCAAACAGG
rnacentral:rRNA from 1 species